GCUGCCAUUUCUAAUAUGCUUUUUAGGAUAAAAGCUUAGAACUAAAGUAGAUUAAAUAUUAAUGAGUCCUGAGAGAAAUUAUUUAGCUUCAAAGUAAUACUAUAAAACUCGUCUAAAAAUAAUAUGAAUGUAUUAGUAAAUUUCAAUUAUUCUAAAGCUAUGACUACGCAAAUUUGAGGAACUAAUAUGUGCUUCUGAAACUGCUCUGCCAUUUCUAUUUUAACUUGGCUGAAGAGUAGAAGCCAGUUUCAGUGCGAUAGCUAUUUUUUAAAAAGUUUCUCUAAGUUCGAGUACGUUUAAUUUCGCACGAGGCGAACGCUCUACUCUCGAGCAAUUUAUUUUAGUACUUAAAGCGUCCGAACGACGCUUUUUGUACGGGUUUUUCUUUUCCCGUUCCCGCUGGACACGUCUCGUCCACGCGGUGUGAACCCGGCCGUGCGGGCCCGCCAUUACGGUAGCCAAACGAGGAUUGAGGCAUUCCGACCUACCGAGAUUCUCCAAAGGAAAGUUUCCCCCAGUCCCGGUGGUUGUGUAGUCCCACAGACGAAGGCCAGUUGGAGACCCGUGACGCUUCCUGAGGAGAGGAGACGGCAGAGUAUCGGACCAUCAGCCACCGCCCUUUCUCGCAACUAUAGAUCGGCCAACUACGCACGUGUGCCCAUUCCGGCGAUGCAUCUGCCGAAGAGCUCGAGUGUUCCGUCGCAUCAUUGAUCGGACACCCCCUGUAGCUGGCACCGUCGUUAUCAUCGCUCGAUGACGACACAGCCCUGUCGGUAUACCAGCCGCCAGCAUAAACCCUGAUCAGGUAUGUCGCAAAUCAUGGCCAUGUAACACACACAACAACACUCACACUCUCACUACACACUAAAAUGAAUCUUGAAAAAAACAUAAUACAUAAAUGAAUUCAAUAUAAAUUUCUCUUGCGUUCAUUCAUUUAUCUCGCUAAGCCCUGUGGUUUAUUAGUCUGCCCGGGAAUGUGCUGAGUUUUCGUUUCAUGCGCUACAGAUAGAGUACGUUUUUGCCUACGUUCACUUUACUGCUUCGGUGCGUUCACCUCAGGAAACUUCACCUCUGAAUUUUCGUGGUCUAGCUUUGGAACCGUUCUAAAACCCCUUGUAGAUUGCGCUCAUGCUUCCUAAAGCUAAGUCGGGCAACUUAUUA